rnacentral:rRNA from 1 species
AAGAAGGCCUUCGGGUUGUAAAGYACUUUCAGUCGUGAGGAAGGCGGUGUCGUUAAUAGCGGCGUKGUUUGACGYUAGCGACAGAAGAAGCACCGGCUAACUCCGUGCCAGCAGCCGCGGUAAUACGGAGGGUGCGAGCGUUAAUCGGAAUUACUGGGCGUAAAGCGCAUGCAGGUGGUUUGUUAAGUCAGAUGUGAAAGCCCGGGGCUCAACCUCGGAAUAGCAUUUGAAACUGGCAGACUAGAGUACUGUAGAGGGGGGUAGAAUUUCAGGUGUAGCGGUGAAAUGCGUAGAGAUCUGAAGGAAUACCGGUGGCGAAGGCGGCCCCCUGGACAGAUACUGACACUCAGAUGCGAAAGCGUGGGGAGCAAACAGGAUUAGAUACCCUGGUAGUCCACGCCGUAAACGAUGUCUACUUGGAGGUUGUGGCCUUGAGCCGUGGCUUUCG